AUGAGUGAAUUUGGCAUUUUUCUGACUAUUGCAUAUCCUUAUUUACUAAUUUUGAUUAAAAGGAUAAUUUUCUCAAAUUAUACUCUGUGCAGAUUUUCAGCUUCAGAAACAUUCUUCUUUAUGGAGACUUCUUCCCUUCUAAACUGGGAUAAGAAACCUUCACAGGGUUCUGCAGGUGUCAAGGAGAACAUUGCUGAAGACAGAAGAUUUGUAAAGCAGACCUGAAACCUCUGACUAGCCCAUUAUUUAAGCCAGGCCCUAAAAUGAACACAAAGAAAAUUAUGAUUCAGUGAUAAUUUUAUUACAGAAAUGUUUGAAAUAAAAUAAAUCAAUGAAGAUCUGAGGAAAAUGAA
rnacentral:lncRNA from 1 species